rnacentral:rRNA from 1 species
GUGGGGAAUCUUGCACAAUGGGCGAAAGCCUGAUGCAGCCAUGCCGCGUGAAUGAUGAAGGCCUUAGGGUUGUAAAAUUCUUUCGUCAGGGAUGAUAAUGACCGUACCUGAAGAAGAAGCCCCGGCUAACUUCGUGCCAGCAGCCGCGGUAAUACGAAGGGGGCUAGCGUUGUUCGGAAUUACUGGGCGUAAAGCGCACGUAGGCGGAUUUUUAAGUCAGGUGUGAAAUCCCGGGGCUCAACCUCGGAACUGCAUUUGAAACUGGAAGUCUUGAGACCAGGAGAGGUUAGCGGAAUACCGAGUGUAGAGGUGAAAUUCGUAGAUAUUCGGUGGAACACCAGUGGCGAAGGCGGCUAACUGGACUGGUACUGACGCUGAGGUGCGAAAGUGUGGGGAGCAAACAGGAUUAGAUACCCCAGUAGUCC